rnacentral:rRNA from 1 species
AUGGAUGAGGUCACAAGGGAUAUACAAGGAGAUAUCCCAUGGUGUAUGCUCUUUGCGGAUGAUGUGGUGCUAGUUGACGAUGGUCGGGCGGGGGUACAUAGGAAGUUAGAGUUAUGGAGACAAACCUUGGAAUCGAAAGGGUUUAGGCUUAGUAGAACUAAAACCGAGUACAUGAUGUGCGGUUUCAGUACUACUAGGUGUGAGGAGGAGGUUAGCCUUGAUGGCCAGGUGGUACCCCAGAAGGACACCUUUCGGUUUUUGGGGUCAAUGCUGCAGGAGGAUGGGGGUAUUGAUGAAGAUGUGAACCAUCGAAUCAAAGCCGGAUGGAUGAAGUGGUGCCAAGCUUCUGGCAUUCUCUGUGACAAGAGAGUGCCACAAAAGCUAAAAGGCAAGUUCUACAGGACGGCGGUUCGACCCGCAAUGUUGUAUGGCGCCGAGUGUUGGCCGACUAAAAGGCGACAUGUUCAACAGUUAGGUGUGGCGGAGAUGCGUAUGUUGAGAUGGAUGUGUGGCCGCACGAGGAAGGAUCGAAUCCGAAAUGAUGAUAUACGAGAUAGAGUUGGGGUAGCACCAAUUGAAGAGAAGCUUGUCCAACAUCGUCUGAGAUGGUUUGGGCAUAUUCAGCGCAGAGGCCUCUAG